rnacentral:rRNA from 1 species
AUUGAACGCUGGCGGCAUGCUUUACACAUGCAAGUCGAACGGUAACAGGUUAAGCUGACGAGUGGCGAACGGGUGAGUAAUGCAUCGGAACGUGCCCGAUCGUGGGGGAUAACGCAGCGAAAGCUGCGCUAAUACCGCAUACGAUCUGAGGAUGAAAGCGGGGGACCGUAAGGCCUCGCGCGAUCGGAGCGGCCGAUGUCAGAUUAGGUAGUUGGUGGGGUAAAGGCUCACCAAGCCGACGAUCUGUAGCUGGUCUGAGAGGACGACCAGCCACACUGGGACUGAGACACGGCGCAGACUCCUACGGGAGGCAGCAGUGGGGAAUUUUGGACAAUGGGCGAAAGCCUGAUCCAGCAAUGCCGCGUGCAGGAAGAAGGCCUUCGGGUUGUAAACUGCUUUUGUACGGAGCGAAAAGGCUCUCUCUAAUACAGGGGGCUCAUGACGGUACCGUAAGAAUAAGCACCGGCUAUCUACGUGCCAGCCGCCGCCGUAA